rnacentral:sRNA from 1 species
GGCUGUUCCCCUCUGGAGGUUUUUUAACCUUCACAAUUAGGCCGGGCUUUUUAGUCCGGCUCUUUUUUGUCAGGGA